GGACUACAGGGGUAUCUAAUCCCGUUUGCUCCCCUAGCUUUCGCGCCUCAGCGUCAGGGUCUGACCAGAGAGUCGCUUUCGCCGCCGGCGUUCUUCCCGAUCUCUACGCAUUUCACCGCUCCACCGGGAAUUCCACUCUCCCCUCCAGACCUCAAGCCUUGCAGUAUCGAGCGCAGUUCCUCGGUUGAGCCGAGGGCUUUCACACCCGACUUACAAAGCCGCCUACGCGCGCUUUAUGCCCAGUGAUUCCGAACAACGCUUGCCACCUACGUAUUACCGCGGCGGCUGGCAC
rnacentral:rRNA from 2 species